CACAAAAUGACUGAAAGCAAGUAUUGGUCUCUUAAACCACAUAAUAAUAGAGUGGCAACUAUUUUUUGUGA
rnacentral:tRNA from 1 species